GCUCAACCGGGGAGGGUCAUGGAAACUGGGAAACUUGAGUGCAGAAGAGGAGAGUGGAAUUCCACGUGUAGCGGUGAAAUGCGUAGAGAUGUGGAGGAACACCAGUGGCGAAGGCGACUCUCUGGUCUGUAACUGACGCUGAGGAGCGAAAGCGUGGGGAGCGAACAGGAUUAGAUACCCUGGUAGUCCACGCCGUAAAUGAUGAGUGCUAAGUGUUAGGGGGUUUCCGCCCCUUAGUGCUGCAGCUAACGCAUUAAGCACUCCGCCUGGGGAGUACGGUCGCAAGACUGAAACUCAAAGGAAUUGACGGGGGCCCGCACAAGCGGUGGAGCAUGUGGUUUAAUUCGAAGCAACGCGAAGAACCUUACCAGGUCUUGACAUCCUCUGACAACCCUAGAGAUAGGGCUUUCCCUUCGGGGACAGAGUGACAGGUGGUGCAUGGUUGUCGUCAGCUCGUGUCGUGAGAUGUUGGGUUAAGUCCCGCAACGAGCGCAACCCUUGAUCUUAGUUGCCAGCAUUUAGUUGGGCACUCUAAGGUGACUGCCGGUGACAAACCGGAGGAAGGUGGGGAUGACGUCAAAUCAUCAUGCCCCUUAUGACCUGGGCUACACACGUGCUACAAUGGACAGAACAAAG
rnacentral:rRNA from 1 species